GGGCCCGUAGCCUAGCUGGAUAGGGCACCGGACUUCUAAUUUCGGGAGGUUCAGUCAAAAGGAGAUAUCCGGAGAUCGCGGGUUCGAAUCCCGUCGGGUCCG
rfam:Candidatus Altiarchaeales archaeon WOR_SM1_86-2 WORSMTZ_14447, whole genome shotgun sequence.